rnacentral:rRNA from 1 species
UACGUAGGGAGCAAGCGUUGUCCGGAUUUACUGGGUGUAAAGGGUGCGUAGGCGGCUUUGCAAGUCAGAGGUGAAAUCCAUGGGCUUAACCCAUGAACUGCUUUUGAAACUGCAAGGCUUGAGUGAAGUAGAGGCAGGCGGAAUUCCCGGUGUAGCGGUGAAAUGCGUAGAGAUCGGGAGGAACACCAGUGGCGAAGGCGGCCUGCUGGGCUUUAACUGACGCUGAGGCACGAAAGCAUGGGUAGCAAACAGG